UGGGGAAUAUUGGACAAUGGGCGAAAGCCUGAUCCAGCCAUGCCGCGUGUGUGAAGAAGGUCUUCGGAUUGUAAAGCACUUUAAGUUGGGAGGAAGGGCAGUAAGCGAAUACCUUGCUGUUUUGACGUUACCGACAGAAUAAGCACCGGCUAACUCUGUGCCAGCAGCCGCGGUAAUACAGAGGGUGCAAGCGUUAAUCGGAAUUACUGGGCGUAAAGCGCGCGUAGGUGGUUCGUUAAGUUGAAUGUGAAAGCCCCGGGCUCAACAUGGGAACUGCAUCCAAAACUGGCGAGCUAGAGUAGGGCAGAGGGUGGUGGAAUUUCCUGUGUAGCGGUGAAAUGCGUAGAUAUAGGAAGGAACACCAGUGGCGAAGGCGACCACCUGGGCUCAGACUGACACUGAGGUGCGAAAGCGUGGGGAGCAAACAGG
rnacentral:rRNA from 1 species